CCGCCGUAGGUCAGCGUUUUGGAGAUGAUCUGGCUCAGGUCCAGGUAACUCGUGCCGCUCAACAAGCCCGCUGUGCGAUACCGCGACAGCAAGC
rnacentral:tRNA from 1 species